UGUUUGUGCGACAAAUUGCGCAUGCGUGUAGAUAUAUCAAAACACCGAAAAAAGACGGAUGACCGCAUGAGGAUAUCCAAGAAAAACAAUGUCCUAUCGAGCGUGCAGUAGCUUCAGUGUAAUCUCAGUGUGACAGCUCAGUGAGAGAUCCAAAGAUGGACAGCGUUACCGUGUCGGCCUCAGAUGGGACAGCUGACUGUCCUCUGGUCUCUGAGGAAAUGGAGGGGAUCUGUGUAAUGCCAGAUAUAAGUGCCAUCAAGACUGAGCAGUCAGUGGGUGCGAGCCCAGAUGACCCAGGCACCCAAAAUGUGGCCAUGGGGAUCAAGUUCAUCCUGCCAAACCGUUUUGAUAUGAAUGUUUGCUCAAGAUUCGUCAAGUCCCUCAACGAGGAGGACAGCAAGAACAUCCAGGACCAGGUCAACUCUGAUCUGGAGGUGGCUUCUGUUUUAUUCAAAGCUGAGUGCAACAUCCAGACCUCACCUUCUCCGGGCAUACAAGUGCGUCAUGUAUACACACCAUCCACCACCAAACAUUUCUCUCCCAUCAAGCAGUCCACCACACUCACCAAUAAACACCGGGGCAACGAGGUUUCUUCCACACCUCUUCUGGUGCAUUCUUUGUCCAUUCAUCAGUUGGCAGCCCAAGGAGAAAUGGUUUUUCUGGCUAGCAGGAUUGAACAAGAGACUGUGAUCAAUCUACAAGAUGAGGAAGGAUUUACACCUCUGAUGUGGGCAGCUGCACAUGGACAAAUUGCUGUUGUCGAGUUUCUGCUUCAAAAUGGUGCUGACCCCAACCUCCUGGCCAAAGGAAGGGAAAGCGCGUUGUCCUUGGCCUGCAGUAAGGGAUACACCGAUAUUGUGAAGAUGCUCAUUGACUGUGGUGUCGAUGUCAAUGAAUAUGACUGGAAUGGUGGAGCCCCUCUGCUCUACGCUGUCCAUGGGAACCAUGUACGCUGUGUUGAAAUCUUGUUAGAGAGUGGUGCUGAUCCUACCAUCGAGUCAGAUUCUGGAUUCAAUGCAAUGGACAUGGCGGUGGCUAUGGGUCAUCGGAAUGUUCAACAGGUGAUGGAGGCACAUUUACUGAAGUUGCUGAUGGGAAUAAGAGAAUGAACUGUUAAGCUUGAGGAAAACAUACUGGAGGGACAAUGCUGCGCUCUGGACAAUCAUGUAGCAUGCCCAGGCUAUGAGCCUACAGGAAUGUUUUGUUCCACAAAAGUUAUAUUUCAACAGCAUCACAUCAACAUUAUUUUGUGGGCAUGGUGCAUAUGAAGAUAAGUGCUGUGUGAUUUUUAUUUUUAUUUUAUUUUAACCCUCAUUCAAACUGUUUUACUCAGCACUUUUUCCUCAGUGAAUGUGGAGUAGCAGAUUUGAUCAGGAUUCACUGACAGAAUUUUAAAGAACAAAAAUGUAAAGAGAUUACAGCAGGUGGAUUGAAGAUACUUUCUUACAGAACCAGACUGUGCGCUUUAUGACGCUGCCAAGAUGCGUUGAUCCUGAAGAUGUUUGUUUGUCGUACUGAGUUUAUUUAUUUAAAUAAUUUAGACAUUGUGUUGUAAUGUAAGUCUGUUUUGUUUCUCUGGAUUGUGAUGCUAAAUGUCCACUGAUGUGUUGUGAAUUUUUAAAAAGAACUUGCACCUCAUUGAAAUGUUCCACAAGGUUAUUGUGGUUUCUAAGUAACUUACAGUCAUAAAUGGUGUAUCAAUAUCUUGUAUUGACCUUAGUACGAGUCAUCAUCACACUGUACAGAAAUGUUUCUGAUUGCAAGUCAAAAAAGGUCAAACCACUGUUUAUAGUCACUGAAAUGAAGCUUGUUAUUUAAUAAAAAAAUGUAAAUCUUUUUAAA